rnacentral:rRNA from 1 species
UUGGUCAUUUAGAGGAAGUAAAAGUCGUAACAAGGUUUCCGUAGGUGAACCUGCGGAAGGAUCAUUAUUGAAAUAAACUUGGUUGGGUUGUUGCUGGCUCUUCGGAGUAUGUGCACGCCUAGCACCAAUUUAUUAACCCCCUGUGCACUUUUUGUAGACCAUAAGAAUAUAUUUCUUCGAGUAUAACAACUCGGUGUGAGGAUUGCUGUGUGAAAAUACGGCUUUUCUUGUGUAUUCCUUUGGUCUACGUUUUAAUAUACCUCAUACAAGUAACAGAAUGAAAUGUAUUGGCCUUUGUGCCUUUAAUUUAAAUACAACUUUCAACAACGGAUCUCUUGGCUCUCGCAUCGAUGAAGAACGCAGCGAAAUGCGAUAAGUAAUGUGAAUUGCAGAAUUCAGUGAAUCAUCGAAUCUUUGAACGCACCUUGCGCUCCUUGGUAUUCCGAGGAGCAUGCCUGUUUGAGUGUCAUUAAAUCAUCAAACCUAUUAGCUUUUGCUGAUAUGGCUUUGGAAAUGGGGGUUUGCAGGCUUCACAAAGUCAGCUCCUCUUAAACAUAUUAGUAAAACCUAUUGUUAGGUCAUCCCUGGUGUGAUAAUUAUCUACGCCAAUGACUCGACUUUAAAAGGAUUUGCUUCUAACCGUCUUUUUACAAGGACAAUCAUUGACAAUUUGACCUCAAAUCAGGUAGGACUACCCGCUGAACUUAAGCAUAUCAAUAAGCGGAGGAAAAGAAACUAACAAGGAUUCCCCUAGUAACUGCGAGUGAAGCGGGAAAAGCUCAAAUUUAAAAUCUGG